GUAGGAGUGCCUUCGGGAGCCUCUACAGGUGUUGCAUGGCUGUCGUCAGCUCGUGUCGUGAGAUGUUCGGUUAAGUCCGCUAACGAGCGCAACCCUCGCUGUGUGUUACAAGUGUCACACGGUACUGCCGAUAUUAAGUCGGAGGAAGGUGGGGAUGACGUCAAGUCAGCAUGACCUUUAUAUCCAGGGCUACACACACGCUACAAUGGCCAGUACAAUGGGUUGCCAAGCCGCGAGGCGGAGCCAAUCCUAAAAAGCUGGCCUCAGUUCAGAUUGCAGUCUGCAACUCGACUGCAUGAAGUUGGAGUUGCUAGUAACCGCAGGUCAGCAAUACUGCGGUGAAUACGUUCCCGGGGAUU
rnacentral:rRNA from 1 species